UUUUGGACAAUGGGCGCAAGCCUGAUCCAGCAAUGCCGCGUGCAGGAAGAAGGCCUUCGGGUUGUAAACUGCUUUUGUACGGAACCAAACGGUCCUGGUUAAUACCUGGGGCUAAUGACGGUACCGUAAGAAUAAGCACCGGCUAACUACGUGCCAGCAGCCGCGGUAAUACGUAGGGUGCAAGCGUUAAUCGGAAUUACUGGGCGUAAAGCGUGCGCAGGCGGUUUUGUAAGACAGGCGUGAAAUCCCCGGGCUUAACCUGGGAAUGCCCCUUGUGACUGCAAAGCUGGAGUGCGGCAGAGGGGGAUGGAAUUCCGCGUGUAGCAGUGAAAUGCGUAGAUAUGCGGAGGAACACCGAUGGCGAAGGCAAUCCCCGGGCCUGCACUACGCCACGCACGAAA
rnacentral:rRNA from 1 species